UACGAAGGGGGGCUAGCGUUGUUCGGAAUCACUGGGCGUAAAGCGCACGCAGGCGGAUUGAUAAGUCAGGGGUGAAAUCCCGGGGCUCAACCUCGGAAUUGCCUUUGAUACUGUCUGUCUUGAGUUCGGGAGAGGUUGGCGGAAUUCCUAGUGUAGAGGUGAAAUUCGUAGAUAUUAGGAAGAACACCAGUGGCGAAAGCGACUUCCUGGACCAAUACUGACGCUCAUGUGCGAAAGCGUGGGGAGCAAACAGGG
rnacentral:rRNA from 1 species